GGGUGCGACCAUACCAGCACUAACGCAUCGGAUCCAAUUAGAACAUUGAAGUUAAGCAUGCUUGGGCUAGAGUAUUACUAGGAUGGGUGACGCCCUGGGAAGUCCUCGUGUUGCACCCC
rnacentral:rRNA from 1 species